rnacentral:rRNA from 1 species
AACUAACGCUGGCGGCGUGCCUAACACAUGCAAGUCGUACGAGAAAGUUGGCUUCGGCCGAUGAGUAAAGUGGCGCACGGGUGAGUAAUGCGUGGAUAAUCUGCCCUUUAGUUGGGAAUAACGUACCGAAAGGUGCGCUAAUACCUGAUAAUACUGCAUAACUACUGUUGUGUAGUCAAAGAAGGCCUCUGUUUACAAGCUUUUGCUGAAGGAUGAGUCCGCGUACCAUUAGCUGGUUGGUGGGGUAAUGGCCUACCAAGGCUACGAUGGUUAGCUGGUCUGAGAGGAUGAUCAGCCACACUGGAACUGAGACACGGUCCAGACUCCUACGGGAGGCAGCAGUGAGGAAUAUUGCGCAAUGGGGGCAACCCUGACGCAGCAACGCCGCGUGAGUGAGGAAGGUUUUCGGACCGUAAAGCUCUGUCGAGCGGAAGAAAUGUAUCAUGGCUAAUAUCCAUGAUACUUGACGGUACCGCUAAAGG